rnacentral:rRNA from 1 species
ACGGGUGAGUAAUGUCUGGGGAUCUGCCCGAUAGAGAGGGAUAACCACUGGAAACGGUGGCUAAUACCGCAUAACGUCGCAAGACCAAAGAGGGGGACCUUCGGGCCUCUCACUAUCGGAUGAACCCAGAUGGGAUUAGCUAGUAGGCGGGGUAAUGGCCCACCUAGGCGACGAUCCCUAGCUGGUCUGAGAGGAUGACCAGCCACACUGGAACUGAGACACGGUCCAGACUCCUACGGGAGGCAGCAGUGGGGAAUAUUGCACAAUGGGCGCAAGCCUGAUGCAGCCAUGCCGCGUGUAUGAAGAAGGCCUUCGGGUUGUAAAGUACUUUCAGCGGGGAGGAAGGCGACAGGGUUAAUAACCCUGUCGAUUGACGUUACCCGCAGAAGAAGCACCGGCUAACUCCGUGCCAGCAGCCGCGGUAAUACGGAGGGUGCAAGCGUUGAUCGGAAUUACUGGGCGUAAAGCGCACGCAGGCGGUCUGUUAAGUCAGAUGUGAAAUCCCCGGGCUUAACCUGGGAACUGCAUUUGAAACUGGCAGGCUUGAGUCUUGUAGAGGGGGGUAGAAUUCCAGGUGUAGC